GAUUUUCUCCUUUGGGGUGUUUGGGAGCCUGAUCCUCAAAAAGAGGCUCUCCAUGCAACAGCUUUGCUGUAUUGUAGCCCCAAGGACAGAGAGAAGAUACAGCAGCAGAAGUCAGUUGGAGCACAAGGGCCUCAUGUAGCUGGAGUUCUUUCAGAGACCUCACACAGUAAAUCCACACUUAUAUUCUCCUUUUGAUGUGCUGCCUUAUUGCCUUUGUGGUCUCUGGUAAAGAAUUUGGGAAGUAAGGUCAUCCUGUGAGAAACCACGUCCUACACCACAUAAAAUAUUAUGAGCCAGAUAAGAUUUACUGGGUAUAAGGUGCUUUAAAACUUCUGUGAGUGCGUCAUGUUUUCUCUUGCAUAGGAUUUUGGAAAUCUUUCUCACUUGCCGUGUGAAGCACAGUCCUGUACUAAGCCUGCUGUGCUAUAUAAUUUACUGUUAUGUAUGUAUGUAAUUAACUGAAGUUCCUUGCAAAAAUACUUACCCUUAGGAGUUGUACUAAUGCCCAUAAAAUGAACGUAUGCCCUUGUAUAUCUUGUUUUCUACGGGAUUAAAAGACGUUGACUGAUGAGAACUCCUCAAGACCGAGUAUUUCGGAAAUCUAUUGAUCAAGACUUGAACUUCUUACAAUGUUGACAUGUACAUGUGCAUUUUAAAUUCAAUUACAGCAACUUUAAUAAUAUAUGAUUAUAUUAUGUGACUAUGAUUAUAAUAUAUUAUAUUUGAUGAAAAUUUUUUUUGCUUUAUUUCCUUAUUCAUUUUUCACAAUCCAAUGACUUUGUCUUCAGAUCACUGCCUAUUCAGGAGCUCUCCUGAAAUGAUUCUUGAAAUAUCAUUCUUUGUAAAUAUUGCAUUUAUGAUCACAGGCCCCUGUUUCUGAGAAAGAUCAUGCACAGACUCAUUGAAAUCCUAAGAAGGAAGAAUUCAAAAAGAGUUGGUUACAAUCACUCUCUCCAUUGUGUAAUCAGUGCUGAUGUGAAUUCAAGUUAAAAUUCAAAUGAACACUUGCAGAAACGUUCUCCUAUCUCACAUUUAUGUUAUAUAAAUGUGAGAUACAUAUUAUUUAUAUACAUGAUGUAAAUAGCAUCAGUCUCUUGGCUCUUUUAAAAUGGUUUGAAGAAAUGGAGUAAUAACUUCAGCUGAUGAGGCACUGCAACAUGUAAUUUACUAUGAGCCCAUCACUUUUGAAUGUGUUAGAUUGUUUGAUGUAUUAUUGAAAAUUUAACUCCUUCAUUUGAAAUUCUUCUCUACUUGCAAACAAUAAGAACAGUUGCAAUAAAAAAAAAAGAGUAGGGAAAAGAGAAUGUUUGUCAGAAGAGCCAGAAUAGCCAUGUUAUAAACAUCCUUGUAAGAGUAUUUGGAUAAUCUAGAACUGUCCUCUUUUUGUGUUUUCAGUAUUUUGUCUUUUGACCUCUGCUGUAUGUUUCUAGAAGUGUGUGCUGUUGUAUUUUGUAUUACUGUUGAACUAAUAAAACUG